UACGUAGGGCGCAAGCGUUGUCCGGAAUUAUUGGGCGUAAAGAGCUCGUAGGCGGUCUGUUACGUCUGCUGUGAAAACCCGGGGCUUAACCCCGGGCGUGCAGUGGAUACGGGCAGACUAGAGGCAGGUAGGGGAGAAUGGAAUUCCCGGUGUAGCGGUGAAAUGCGCAGAUAUCGGGAGGAACACCGGUGGCGAAGGCGGUUCUCUGGGCCUGACCUGACGCUGAGGAGCGAAAGCGUGGGGAGCGAACAGG
rnacentral:rRNA from 1 species